rnacentral:rRNA from 1 species
AACGAACGUUGGCGGCGUGGAUUAGGCAUGCAAGUCGAGCGGGAUUACCUUGGUUCAAUCUUUCGGGAGAGAACCUUGGUAUGAGAGCGGCGAACGGGUGAGUAAUACUUGGGUAAUUUGCCUCUUUGUUCGGGAUAGCCAUCGGAAACGAUGAUUAAUACCGAAUGUGUUCGGGUGCUGCAUAGCACCUUGUAUAAAGGCGGGGAUUCUUCGGAACCUGUCGCAAAGAGAUAAGCCCAAGCCCUAUCAGCUUGUUGGUGAGGUAAUGGCUCACCAAGGCUUACGGGUAGCUGGUCUGAGAGGAUGGUCAGCCACACUGGGACUGAGACACUGCCCAG